rnacentral:rRNA from 1 species
UACGAAGGGGGCUAGCGUUGCUCGGAAUCACUGGGCGUAAAGCGCACGUAGGCGGAUUGUUAAGUCAGGGGUGAAAUCCUGGAGCUCAACUCCAGAACUGCCUUUGAUACUGGCGAUCUUGAGUCCGGGAGAGGUGAGUGGAACUGCGAGUGUAGAGGUGAAAUUCGUAGAUAUCGGGAGGAACACCAGUGGCGAAGGCGGCGACCUGGGCCAAUAUUGACGCUGAGGUGCGAAAGCGUGGGGAGCAAACAGG